rnacentral:rRNA from 1 species
GAUGAACGCUGGCGGCGUGCCUAAUACAUGCAAGUCGAGCGAACAGACGAGGAGCUUGCUCCUCUGACGUUAGCGGCGGACGGGUGAGUAACACGUGGAUAACCUACCUAUAAGACUGGGAUAACUUCGGGAAACCGGAGCUAAUACCGGAUAAUAUAUUGAACCGCAUGGUUCAAUAGUGAAAGACGGUUUUUCUGGAACUUGUAGAUGGAUGCGCGCCGCAUUAGCUAGUUGGUAAGGUAACGGCCUACAAAGGCAACGAUGCGUAGCCGGACUGAGAGGGUGACCGGACACAUUGGGAAUGAGAUAAGGCCCAGACUCCUACGGGAGGCAGAAGUGGGGAAGAUUGCAGAAUGGGCGGAAGCCUGAUGCAGAAACGCGGCGUGCGGGAUGACGGCAUUCGGGUUGUAAACCGCUUUAGACGGUAACGCAGCGUGAGUUAAGGUAAUGGGUAAGGAAGCAACGGCUAACUACGUG